UACGAAGGGGGCUAUCGUUGUCCGGAAUUACUGGGCGUAAAGAGCGCGUAGGCGGACUAUCAAGUCAGAGGUGAAAUCCCAGGGCUCAACCCUGGAACUGCCUUUGAAACUGAUAGUCUAGAGUCUCGGAGGGGAUAGUGGAAUUUCCAGUGUAGGGGUGAAAUCCGUAGAUACUGGAAGGAACACCGGUGGCGAAGGCGACUAUCUGGACGAGAACUGACGCUAAGGUGCGAAAGCGUGGGGAGCAAACAGG
rnacentral:rRNA from 1 species